GCUUGUAGCGCUGCAAAACCAAACCUGCGAGGGACCCGGCAAAAAGCUCUUCUGUUCAGUGGCAGAGGAAGCACAAGCGAAAGCGGCUCUGCACAUGCAGCAUGGCUGCGCUACAGGACCUGUCCAUUGUUCUUGUGUGGAUCCAUCACUAAUUCAAGCUGAGUCCAUGGCAAACUUGUGAAUAUGUCUCCCCAAGAGCCAUCCAAGGCGUUGGGGCUGUUAUCCCUGCUUCAGAGAGAGGGAACUGAAACGUGCCCAAGGUCACCCAAGGAAAUCUGCACUAGACUAGCACCUGAAUCAUUCAUUCUGGUCACAAAAAUGCUAAUUUCAUCAACCAACAUCUGAGCAGAGGCUUGAAUGAUAUGACUGUAUAGAAGAUAGAACCUGUCCUUGAUUCUGCUGUCAUGCUGGUGUGGAAGAGCAAUUCAACUGGUGUCAGAGGAUUUCCAUUGACAUAAAUCUAGUCAGUGAAGUGUUGCAAACUUCCCGCGGAUCAAACAAGCCCUUACCCUGAGGAGCUCUGCAGCAAAAGUUUUCCCUCCCCCUCGUCAUUUCUGCCAAAAGAACUGGAGAGCUGUGGUCAGUGGCAUCACUGAAGGACAUGUGGGCUGAUGGACAGUUCACUGAACACAGUGAGUGAAAACUUCUGCCUGGAGCACAAGAAACUUGCAAAGCAAAGCUCUUCUACAUUGCUGAUGCUUGAUGGGAUCAUCAACAGAAGUGAG